AUGAGAAGCCUCAGAGGACAGAGGACAGACAUGCAACCAGAUACUUCACAGAAGACUUUACAGAAGACAGGUUUUCCCAUGCCAGGCCUCGUUUUUCAUGAAAACAAGGAAAAAGAGUUUUUCAGAAUUUUCUAUUUGUCUUUAUUAUAUAUUAUUUGCAUCUCUUUGUUGUUGUUUUGCAGUCAUUCUUCUAGAUACAGGUGACAGAAGCCAAUGACCUGUUUAUUUUUGAUGGGGGUGUUUUGAUCAGGCUUAGGUAAAAUGUCAGCAUUUCACAAUUAUAAAUAAAUGUUAUAUUACUAAUGAAAUUUCCUGUCGU
rnacentral:lncRNA from 1 species